rnacentral:tRNA from 1 species
UAAAAGACGUGAUUGGAGCUGCUAACUCUGAUUUGGGGGGACUAUUCCUCCUCUUUUAU